CCUACGGGAGGCUGCAGUGGGGAAUAUUGGGCAAUGGGCGCAAGCCUGACCCAGCAACGCCGCGUGAAGGAAGAAGGCUUUCGGGUUGUAAACCUCUUUUUUCAGGGACGAAGCAAGUGACGGUACCUGACGAAUAAGCCACGGCUAACUACGGGCCAGCGGCCGCGGGAAUACGUAGGUGGCAAGCGUUAUCCGGAUUUACUGGGUGUAAAGGGCGUGUAGGCGGGACUGCAAGUCAGAUGUGAAAACCACGGGCUCAACCUGUGUCUUGGAUUUGAAACUGUAGUUCUUGAGUACUGGAGAGGCAGACGGAAUGCCUAGUGUAGCGGUGAAAUGCGUAGAUAUUAGGAGGAACACCAGUGGCGAAGGCGGUCUGCUGGACAGCAACUGACGCUGAGGCGCGAAAGCGUGGGGAGCAAACAGGAUUAGAUACCCCAGUAGUC
rnacentral:rRNA from 1 species